GGUUGUGGCUGGUAGGGUGUGUUCGGACUUGGGUGUUGCACCAGUCACAGCUGUCAGCAGUAGCAGAACCCGAUAUCUUCUAGGUUUUCUGGAUGUCAGUGUCUUGUGUAGCAUUUGGGGCAGAGACUGAUGGGAAGCCCUACAAUGAAACAGUAUAAAGAAAUGUUGGGGAGAGCACCCAUAAAUUUUCCUGUCAGGGUCCCAGCUUUUCCCUCAGAGCUACAACAUAACUGAGCAGUUUUUAUACAUGUAUGCCACCCAUCCCUGGUCCAUCCCUUCACCAGCUCCAUGCCAGGAGGAGAUAAAUUAAUCUGGAGGUAAGCCUUGUGCCUUUGGCUGAAAUGUAUGUGUGCAGGUUUGUUGCUGCUCUCUACUGGCCAAUCCAUAGUUAAACCCAUAAUCAUAGCCCGUAAAUCAGAGCCUUUAACCUGAGUAAUGCCUAUCUGUUUUUCUGAAGGUUGUUGCUCUGUGUCUGUUUGUAACAGAACCGUUGAAAUUGGAAGGGACAUCUGGAGAUCACAUAGCCUAAAGCAGUGG
rnacentral:lncRNA from 1 species